UGCACAUCAUCUUCGCUGUAUGAUUUAAUAACAAAGAAUUUGGCCUCAGCAUAUUCUUCAGGAAAAUCUGAUUUGUUGUAUUGAUCACGGUCUGGAGUAGACACCUUAUCUUUCUCUUCCUCGUCUGUUGCGUUCAUUGGUGGUAAAAGUUGCCCCUUGACAGCUAGAACACUAGGCACAAAUCCCUUCUGGUUCUUGCUACCCUUAGCUCUCGGUCCCCUAUUCAGUUCAUUCAAACCAUCCAUAUUCUCAUUUCCAUAUCCAUAAUACCCACCAUUUCGACCCCUAGGCUUGAAUUUGUUGUCCACAGCAAGCCACACACGCCCAUUAGAUCGUGAAUCAUAACCAUGUGAGGCAAAGCCUACACCAGAUCUGACUGUGUUUCCAAAUUGACCAUACAACUUAUUGGGGUACAUCCGAUUUAUAUAACCCUGGGUGGUAUUCAUUCCUGACAUGGGUCUAGGAUGAGGAAAACCCUGCAGCAAAAAAAAGAGAAAGAAACAGAUUAAAUUAUGAUUAAUUCAAUACUGAAAAGGAAAUUUAGAAGUAGAUAAAGAAUGCUUACUACAUAGUGAGAUCCGGGACGGAAACUUGGACUUCUUGAAGAAGGUAUGUUGUUUGCAUUUGAGAUAGAGGAGGUAAUAGUAGAGCUACUGACAAGCCUAGACUGUCCAUCUGAGUACAGUGGACCAUCUGACCAAGGGAAAGAAUUCCUCAACCCAUCAUAGCCAUAUCUGGGAUCCUGAUAACCCGAAGCAGGAAUAUGCCCUGGCAAAGCACCCCUUGCAUACGCAUUUGAACCAAAUGUUGAAUUUUGAUAAGAAGAUUUCAAAGGAGCUGAACCAUUGUUUCCCUUU
rnacentral:lncRNA from 1 species